UUUAACUGAAGAGUUUGAUCAUGGCUCAGAUUGAACGCUGGCGGCAGGCUUAACACAUGCAAGUCGAGCGGGGGAAGGUAGCUUGCUACUGGACCUAGCGGCGGACGGGUGAGUAAUGCUUAGGAAUCUGCCUAUUAGUGGGGGACAACAUCUCGAAAGGGAUGCUAAUACCGCAUACGUCCUACGGGAGAAAGCAGGGGAUCUUCGGACCUUGCGCUAAUAGAUGAGCCUAAGUCGGAUUAGCUAGUUGGUGGGGUAAAGGCCUACCAAGGCGACGAUCUGUAGCGGGUCUGAGAGGAUGAUCCGCCACACUGGGACUGAGACACGGCCCAGACUCCUACGGGAGGCAGCAGUGGGGAAUAUUGGACAAUGGGGGGAACCCUGAUCCAGCCAUGCCGCGUGUGUGAAGAAGGCCUUAUGGUUGUAAAGCACUUUAAGCGAGGAGGAGGCUACUUUAGUUAAUACCUAGAGAUAGUGGACGUUACUCGCAGAAUAAGCACCGGCUAACUCUGUGCCAGCAGCCGCGGUAAUACAGAGGGUGCGAGCGUUAAUCGGAUUUACUGGGCGUAAAGCGUGCGUAGGCGGCUUAUUAAGUCGGAUGUGAAAUCCCCGAGCUUAACUUGGGAAUUGCAUUCGAUACUGGUGAGCUAGAGUAUGGGAGAGGAUGGUAGAAUUCCAGGUGUAGCGGUGAAAUGCGUAGAGAUCUGGAGGAAUACCGAUGGCGAAGGCAGCCAUCUGGCCUAAUACUGACGCUGAGGUACGAAAGCAUGGGGAGCAAACAGGAUUAGAUACCCUGGUAGUCCAUGCCGUAAACGAUGUCUACUAGCCGUUGGGGCCUUUGAGGCUUUAGUGGCGCAGCUAACGCGAUAAGUAGACCGCCUGGGGAGUACGGUCGCAAGACUAAAACUCAAAUGAAUUGACGGGGGCCCGCACAAGCGGUGGAGCAUGUGGUUUAAUUCGAUGCAACGCGAAGAACCUUACCUGGCCUUGACAUACUAGAAACUUUCCAGAGAUGGAUUGGUGCCUUCGGGAAUCUAGAUACAGGUGCUGCAUGGCUGUCGUCAGCUCGUGUCGUGAGAUGUUGGGUUAAGUCCCGCAACGAGCGCAACCCUUUUCCUUACUUGCCAGCAUUUCGGAUGGGAACUUUAAGGAUACUGCCAGUGACAAACUGGAGGAAGGCGGGGACGACGUCAAGUCAUCAUGGCCCUUACGGCCAGGG
rnacentral:rRNA from 1 species